rnacentral:rRNA from 1 species
UACGUAGGGUGCAAGCGUUAAUCGGAAUUACUGGGCGUAAAGCGUGCGCAGGCGGUUGUGCAAGUCAGAUGUGAAAUCCCCGGGCUCAACCUGGGAAUUGCAUUUGUGACUGUACGGCUAGAGUGUGUCAGAGGGGGGUAGAAUUCCACGUGUAGCAGUGAAAUGCGUAGAGAUGUGGAGGAAUACCGAUGGCGAAGGCAGCCCCCUGGGAUAACACUGACGCUCAUGCACGAAAGCGUGGGGAGCAAACAGG